CCCCAGGAAAAUCCCCAAAAUUCCCAGGAAAAUUCCCAGGAAAAUCCCCAAGAAAAUCCAAAAAUUCCCAGGAAAAUUCCAAGGAAAAUCCUGAAAUUUCCCAAGAAAAUCCCCAGGAAAAUCCCCAAAAUAAUCCCAAAAACUCCGAGGAAAAUUCCCCCAAAUCCCAGGAAUUUGGGAUUCCCCCAUAAACCAAACUGAGGAGGAAAAGGAGGAAAAAAAUCCGGAAAAAAUUCCAGAAAAAGAGGAAAAAACCCCGGAAAAGGAGGAGGAAAAAACCUCGCAAGAGCCCUGAGAAUUCCAGGAUGAAGAAGCCACAAAAGAGGAAAAUUCCUGAAUUUUCCCAUUCCUGAGGAAUUCCCUGCUGGGAUUUCAGGCAAUUUAUAGCGAAAUAAAGCCCAAAAAUGGGAAAAAUAAAAAGUUGGAAGUUUGGAAAAA